GACAUCUCUUUCCAGAUACGGUUGCUUUGUGAGGUUUAUGCUUAUCUGAAAGUUGAGAGGAUGCAGUACAACCUACAAUAGCCACAGAUGAGUUAGAAAGCAAACUGGAAAGCAAAUUCCUUAUCAGAAGGAACACAAGCAUCUGUGUGUGUGUGUGUGUCUGUGUGUCUGUGUGUGUGUGUCUGUGUGUGUAGCACUUUUAAGAAGGCACACAUGACAGACUCUCACUUCUCAGCUCAACACUUAAAAAAAAAAUUAAUUCACGCCAAGUGCGGUAGCACACGCUUUUAAUCCCAGCAAUCAGGAGACAAAGGUUCAAGGCCAGCCUGGUCUUCAUAGCAAGUUCUAGGAUGGCUGGGACUAUAUUGAGAGAGACCCUGUCUCAAACAAACAAAUAAACAAGAGUCCAGAUCCUAGAGCAUCCCUCUGUGAUGUCACAAAAGAAGUGAAGGCUUUGAGAAAACACCUUCAAAAGGAGCCAUGACCAGGCAUCCCCAAAGAGCCCAACUAUCAGGAAACACCUUUAGGACUUAGAAGAGGGGGCCAUGAACACUUGGUUUAAAUGGCAGUAAUGUACCAAGACGUCUGUACCUAUAGACAAGGACAGCUGUGCUACAUGCACCUGCAGGACAAAGCAUUGUAGGAGAGGUGACAUCAGAGCUCAGAAUGUUGAUUCCUGGGAUUGAUUCCUGUGUUAGCUCCCUGUGGCUGUUGUAACAAAUGAUCACAAACGCAGUGGCUUAAAACAAUAGGAAGUCUCUCUCUUAUAGUUUCUAGAAAUCCAAAACCAACAUAAUCAGGAUAAGAUUACUGUAGCAGCAGGUGGUGGCGCUCCCUUCAGAGGAUGGGGAGGAGUCUGGCAGCUCCUAGUGUUCUUGGCUCACGGUUGCGUUCUCCAGUCUUCAAGGAUACUAUAAAUUCUUUGGCGUCUCUGUACCUCUACCUGUUUCUGAUGGAGUUCCAGCUCUGAUGCCCACUCUCAGAGCUCUACAAAUUGGACUUUGACUUCCAUCUAUGUUGCUUUACUUGGAGCUGAAUUCACACUCGCCAUAAACACCGGGAAAACAGGAUGGGAAAUGAUAUUAAAACAGCUUUCAGACAUCUCAAGGCAGGCACUACAGACUGAAAGCCUCCUGAGAGAAUGUAAAUGAACAAGGGGAAACUGCCAGCACCCUAGCUUUCUUCAGGGCCACCUUUAG
rnacentral:lncRNA from 1 species